rnacentral:rRNA from 1 species
GUGGGGAAUAUUGGACAAUGGGCGAAAGCCUGAUCCAGCCAUGCCGCGUGUGUGAAGAAGGCCUUUUGGUUGUAAAGCACUUUAAGCGAGGAGGAGGCUACCGAGAUUAAUACUCUUGGAUAGUGGACGUUACUCGCAGAAUAAGCACCGGCUAACUCUGUGCCAGCAGCCGCGGUAAUACAGAGGGUGCGAGCGUUAAUCGGAUUUACUGGGCGUAACGCGUGCGUAGGCGGCUUUUUAAGUCGGAUGUGAAAUCCCUGAGCUUAACUUAGGAAUUGCAUUCGAUACUGGGGAGCUAGAGUAUGGGAGAGGAUGGUAGAAUUCCUGGUGUAGCGGUGAAAUGCGUAGAGAUCUGGAGGAAUACCGAUGGCGAAGGCAGCCAUCUGGCCUAAUACUGACGCUGAGGUACGAAAGCAUGGGGAGCAAACAGGAUUAGAUACCCUUGUAGUCC